GACGAACGCUGGCGGCGUGCUUAACACAUGCAAGUCGAACGCUGAAGCUCAGCUUUUGUUGGGUGGAUGAGUGGCGAACGGGUGAGUAACACGUGAGUAACCUGCCUCCUUCUUUGGGAUAACGCCCGGAAACGGGUGCUAAUACUGGAUAUUCACUGGUCUUCGCAUGGGGGUUGGUGGAAAGGGUUUUUCUGGUGGGGGAUGGGCUCGCGGCCUAUCAGCUUGUUGGUGGGGUGAUGGCCUACCAAGGCUUUGACGGGUAGCCGGCCUGAGAGGGUGACCGGUCACAUUGGGACUGAGAUACGGCCCAGACUCCUACGGGAGGCAGCAGUGGGGAAUAUUGCACAAUGGGCGCAAGUCUGAUGCAGCGACGCCGCGUGAGGGAUGGAGGCCUUCGGGUUGUGAACCUCUUUCGCUCAUGGUCAAGCCGCAACAAUGGUUGUGGUGAGGGUAGUGGGUAAAGAAGCGCCGGCUAACUACGUG
rnacentral:rRNA from 1 species